GGAUUUUUUUUUUUUUUUUAAACCAUUAAGCCUAACCAAAACCUCUGAACAUAUAAGGUUUUUCAUCCUAGAAAUAAAGGUUUUUCUUUAAUUUCUUUACAAAAUAAAUAUUUUUAUAUUGAUUUCAGUAUUAUAUAACCAAGAUUUUGUGUUGCCAUAUGUGCCGAGAUGUAUUACUUGUACAACCAACUUGUAGUUUUUGUUUUCCAGUUAAUAAAUGUAAAUUAUGCUACUGAAGUGUUCAAUGAUAAAUAACUAAAUGUUGAUCAUUGAAAGCUCUUAUGUUACAUCACAUGCAAGUCACAGCUUCCUAAUUUUUUAUUUUUAGAGGAGAUUGCUAUACUGCAAAUGAGUUGAAUCAGACCAAGCUUGGCUAUCUCAAACUUGGCUCCAUGAUGAAAUAAGCUUUAGAUUUAGGUUCACAGGCUUGACUCAUCAAACGAGUUGAACAAAUUGUCAAACUAGCCAAAGGCAAGUUUUUAAUAAAAUUUAGUAAAAGAAAUCACUAACAACUA
rnacentral:misc_RNA from 1 species